GUUAAUAUAGUUUUAAAACAAACAUUAGA
rnacentral:tRNA from 1 species